UUACCUGGUUGAUCCUGCCAGUAGUCAUAUGCUUGUCUCAAAGAUUAAGCCAUGCAUGUCUAAGUGCAAGCCAAAUUAAGGUGAAACCGCGAAUGGCUCAUUAAAUCAGUUAUGGUUCCUUAGAUAAUACUCCAAGUUACUUGGAUAACUGUGGUAAUUCUAGAGCUAAUACAUGCAAACAGAGUUCCGACUCGAGAGGGGAGGAACGCUUUUAUUAGAUCAAAACCAAUCGGUCGCCGGCCUCGGUCGCGCGCAUCCGCAUUCGUAUUUGGUGACUCUGAAUAACCACUUAGCAGAUCGCACGGUCUCGUACCGGCGACGCAUCUUUCAAAUGUCUGCCUUAUCAACUGUCGAUGGUAGGCUCUGCGCCUACCAUGGUUGUAACGGGUAACGGGGAAUCAGGGUUCGAUUCCGGAGAGGGAGCCUGAGAAACGGCUACCACAUCCAAGGAAGGCAGCAGGCGCGCAAAUUACCCACUCCCGGCACGGGGAGGUAGUGACGAAAAAUAACGAUACGGGACUCAUCCGAGGCCCCGUAAUCGGAAUGAGCACAACUUAAAUACUUUAACGAGUAUCCAUUGGAGGGCAAGUCUGGUGCCAGCAGCCGCGGUAAUUCCAGCUCCAAUAGCGUAUAUUAAAGUUGUUGCGGUUAAAAAGCUCGUAGUUGGACUUGUGUCCCACGCCGUCGGUUCGUCGCCCGUCGACGUAACCGCACGGUUAUGUGAGUGGGACGUCCAGCCGGUGGGUCGUCAGGUCGUGCUCAUGGCUGGCCGCGCACCCGGCGCGGCGUCCGUCGCUACCGCGGGCGGCACUUAGCUUGUGCGUCGGUCGUUUACUCGGCUGGCCCUCGCGGUGUCGUCGCCAGCGGGGCGGCAAUUAAAGGGCGCCCGUCGAUCAGUCGUGUCGCCGCGUCGGUCGGCACGGUGCCGGACCCAUGUUACUCGUCUCGGUGCUCUUAAUCGAGUGUCUUGACGGGCCGGCUCGUUUACUUUGAACAAAUUAGAGUGCUUAAAGCAGGCCAAUUGCCGCCUGAAUAUUGUGUGCAUGGAAUAAUGGAAUAGGAUCUCGGUUCUAUUUUGUUGGUUUUCUGAACCAGAGAUAAUGAUUAAUAGAGACUGACGGGGGCAUUCGUAUUACUACGUUAGAGGUGAAAUUCUUGGAUCGUAGUAAGACGAACAUAAGCGAAAGCACUUGCCAAGAAUGCUUUCAUUAAUCAAGAACGAAAGUUAGAGGUUCGAAGGCGAUCAGAUACCGCCCUAGUUCUAACCAUAAACGAUGCCAACUAGCGAUCCGCCGGUGUUCCUCCGAUGACCCGGCGGGCAGCUUCCGGGAAACCAAAGUGUUUGGGUUCCGGGGGAAGUAUGGUUGCAAAGCUGAAACUUAAAGGAAUUGACGGAAGGGCACCACCAGGAGUGGAGCCUGCGGCUUAAUUUGACUCAACACGGGAAACCUCACCAGGCCCGGACACUGGAAGGAUUGACAGAUUGAUAGCUCUUUCUUGAUUCAGUGGGUGGUGGUGCAUGGCCGUUCUUAGUUGGUGGAGCGAUUUGUCUGGUUAAUUCCGAUAACGAACGAGACUCUGGCCUGCUAACUAGUCGCACAUUGACGACAUCCGCAUUCGUGCUGUCGGCGACAAAUAUAAACUCUUCUUAGAGGGACAGGCGGCUUCUAGCCGCACGAGAUUGAGCAAUAACAGGUCUGUGAUGCCCUUAGAUGUUCUGGGCCGCACGCGCGCUACACUGAAUGGUUCAACGUGUGUCUCCCCUUGACCGAGAGGUCCGGGUAACCCGCUGAAAUCCAUUCGUGCUAGGGAUCGGGGCUUGCAAUUAUUCCCCGUGAACGAGGAAUUCCCAGUAAGCGCGAGUCAUAAGCUCGCGUUGAUUACGUCCCUGCCCUUUGUACACACCGCCCGUCGCUACUACCGAUUGAAUGAUUUAGUGAGGUCUUCGGACAGUCGCGCGGCGGCGCCCGCAAGGGCCCGUCGAUGUUCGACGGAAAGAUGAUCAAACUUGAUUAUUUAGAGGAAGUAAAAGUCGUAACAAGGUUUCCGUAGGUGAACCUGCGGAAGGAUCA
rnacentral:rRNA from 2 species